UCCGCCUCUCUCUUUCCUCUCCGGCUUCCCCUGUUGUACUUUUCCUUCACUCCAACACUUGCAUCUCCUACCUUGUAAGUCUCCUCCUCCUCUUCUUCUACUUCAUAGCUUGCUUCCCACCGCGCCUUUCGGUCUUGUUGAGGUUCUUCAUCUCCCCUGACAAGGAAAGAAGAGAUCUUCCAGGACCCCAUAAGAAAGCUGGCACCUUUUCACCAAAUAUUACUCUUUUUCUUCUCCGUCUCAGGAUUCCUCUGUUCUUUGGUUGGAUUGGGAUUUUAAUUCCGACAAUUUUGUGACGCGCUUUGCAUUGUUGAGUUCCAGAAGGAUGGGAGACCAUCUUACUUUGCUUGUGGACCACCUGCUUACUGAAUCAACUCUGCAAGCAGCCAUUGGGAAUAGAAAAGGAUGCCAGAAUUCUUCGACUUCGACAUCCUUGGACGAAGGAGGCAAAGGGUUUGCGCAGAAGAGGAGCUUCAGGGAUGAGGAUUCUGUGGGGAAGUUGGUUGAGUGCCGAAUUUGUCAAGAAGAUGAUGUAGAUUGCAACAUGGAGAUACCUUGCUCUUGCUGUGGCAGCAUGAAGUUUGCCCAUCGUGAAUGUGUUCAAAGAUGGUGUAAUGAGAAGGGUGAUACUAUCUGUGAGAUUUGCCUGCAGGUGAAGUCUUCUUGCUGGUUUAUCUGUAGUUUUUGAUCUAAAAUUUUGAUAUCCGGAAUCUUACUAUGACACUCAAUGUCUAGGAUUUUGUCUAGAUAUUCAUUUUGAUGUAGAUUUGGCUUCACAAUAAUUCGUUAUCUGGUUGAUUGUUAUUUUGUUGUUCACUAAAUUUUAGUUAUACUCAGCAAUUUAAGCCAGGUUACACAGCUCCGCAAAAGUUGCUUCAGUACGGGAGUUCUCCAAUGAACUUUAGAGGAAAUUGGGACAUUAUGCGACGAAGUUUCCGUGAUUCUCAAAUCUUAGCACUAGUUCCCUCUGAACGCAACAACAUUAAUUCAGGCUAUGAUGAUAUUUUAGUUGGAGGCACUAGAAGUACAUCCUAUUGCCAGUCAGUUGCUGUGAUAUAUUUCCUUUUAUCCAGUUUAUGUUUCUGUUGUUCCUCCGCCAUACUCUUCCUCUCAUGAUCACGGGAGCUGACCAAUACUCGUUCACUCUGUUCUUGGUAAAAUCAUUAAAUCUUAGAAAUGCAUUCUUAGCAAAAUCGUUGAGCCUGUUAUCUCCUGGAGCUGGUUGUGAUGCAGUUCUUGUUUACUUGUACAUAACAAAAUCAAAGAUAAUGGUGUUGAGGGUUGCUGGAUUGCUUUUGCUAUUCUUUGUAAUGGUUAAAGCAGUAAGGACAUUUCGACAUCAUGGCCGCCGCCAACUGGGAGUUUGGGAAAUGUUCGAUCAAUCUUAUGUAGAAGACAGUGAUUGAAGCAGUCCAUGCAGCUAGUGCAGUCUCAGCCUCAUUAGAGUGGCGGAUCGAAGGGCCAGAGCCAGAGAAUGAUGCCAAUGGAGCAUUUGGGAAAGAACAAGAGAAAGUGGAGAAUAGAAAAAUGUGCCUGUAGUUGGGUCUAUAAUGACUCGGCUAUGUACAUAGAAUGGUGAAGGAACGCGUGUUUUCAAUUGCUUGAAAAAUGAAAGAAAAAAAUUUACUCUU